rnacentral:lncRNA from 1 species
AGGCGAUUGAUGAAACAUCCAAGGAGAUGCAGAUGACCCUCACUCGCCCAGAUCAGGGUGGGAUUUUCAGGUGUAACGGAGAAUUUGAAUUAGGAAAGACCGCUACUGAACGAAUUGAAAUCCACGUGAUCCAGAAACCUACAUUUGUGGACACAAUGGAUCUUGUGAAGGAAGUUCAUGAGGGCCAAAAUGUAGAAUUCAGCUGCCUGGUUAAAGGAAUACCACCACCAACUAUUAGAUGGUUUUUUGGAAACCAGGACAUCAGAAAUAUUAUUAGGGAAAGGCAACUAUUUAUUGAAAAUGGGAAGCUGCUGAUAGAGAACACCCAAUUAUCAGAUGCGGGUAUUUAUAUUUGUGAGGCAUCCAUCAAAGAACGCAACGAAGUAGCUUUUGCAAACUUUACGCUCAAGAUUA